GAUGAAGAACGCAGCGAAAUGCGAUAAGUAAUGUGAAUUGCAGAAUUCAGUGAAUCAUCGAAUCUUUGAACGCACAUUGCGCCCUUUGGUAUUCCAAAGGGCAUGCCUGUUCGAGCGUCAUUUGUACCCUCAAGCUUUGCUUGGUGUUGGGCGUCUUGUCUCUAGCUUUGCUGGAGACUCGCCUUAAAGUAAUUGGCAGCCGGCCUACUGGUUUCGGAGCGCAGCACAAGUCGCACUCUCUAUCAGCAAAGGUCUAGCAUCCAUUAAGCCUUUUUUUUCAACUUUUGACCUCGGAUCAGGUAGGGAUACCCGCUGAACUUAAGCAUAUCAAUAAGCGGAGGA
rnacentral:misc_RNA from 1 species